UACAUUAUUAUUGUGACAUAGGUUACUAGUGUAAGAGUCGAAUUAAAAAAAUGUCAGCACAUGCAUUAACUUUUAGCUCAUUUGGGUACCACACAAUGUCACCAAGACUGUGGGGCAGCUGCUACCAGCACAGGAGCUAACAAGAGCUUACCUGACAGAGAGCCAGGUACAGCGACGGACUGACUGUCAAACACAUUAGCAUAUUUAAUAAGGCAGAGGUUUGCUAUUUUCCUCUGGAAACAGGCAGAAAAACAAAAGUAGCUCAAAUUCCAGUGUAAGUGUUAAUUAAAUUUAAGAGGUACGGGAAGAUGGAUCCAACGAGAUGUCCACAUUUCUCUAUUUCUGUUAAAGCCAAGUGGUCAAGACCCGCUAACCGCAGCUCAAGGGGAUGCCGGUGAGGGUGGAGUACAUGGAGCAGUUGGCCGUGGACAAGGGCCGGAUGAGGGACGGGAACUGUGAACGGGUCUCCUGGUGCCC